rnacentral:rRNA from 1 species
CCAAGGAGUCUAACACGUGCGCGAGUCGUAGGGUGAGACUAAACCCGAAGGCGCAAGCGAAAGCGAAGGGUUCGACGUCGACCAGACCCUCUGUUUGGCGAGGGCGGUCUUUCCGAGAUCGUCUCUCUUCCAGGCAGAGCCAGUCUUCGUCGAGCCCGAGGGGAGAUCCGUUCAAAUAAAAAACCGGCGAUAAGGCAGCCGGGCGGCGCAUCCCCGGGACGUCUGCUCUCGGCAGCUCGGAGCCGACCCGCUUCUUCUCUCCGGUACUCCUUCCUUUUCUUCUCUGUCUCUCUUUCGCGGGGAGCGGAGAACCAAAGGUUUUUGGACUCCGGUUCGGAGCGGGGCCGUCCGAGCCGGGAGAGGCGUACCUAGAGCGCACGCGUUGGGACCCGAAAGAUGGUGAACUAUGCCUGGCUAGGACGAAGCCAGGGGAAACCCUGGUGGAGGUCCGAAGCGAUUCUGACGUGCAAAUCGAUCGUCAAAGUUGGGUAUAGGGGCGAAAGACUAAUCGAACCAUCUA